CCUGGACCUGCACAGACCUGUUCCCGGUGGUAGCAAUGGGACGGGCUGUUCGUCUUUAGAGGUUAGCCAAUUAGGCUAAUUACGACAUUGACCAGGGCCACAAGGAUAUGGGGCUUUGCAGCCACACGGGCCGUCACAGCCACCCGGCUCCACCAGAGAGGCUACGUGAGCGUCUGGGCAGGUGUCUGCGUGCCAGUGAAACGUAACCGAUGGCACUGCAGUUUCCACAUGUUGCACAGUAUUUGGAUUUUGUUGUCAACCACUUAAAAAUGCAUAGCCCGUUCUUAGUUCACCUGUCAUAGAGAACUAAGAACAGGUGUGUGAGUCCCCAGAGAGACCCAGGGCUCGACGCCGCACACCUGCUCGUUGUGCUGUCAAGACUAUUUCACGGCAUGGAGAACAAUCUCAGCAUGAAGCUGAGUGAAAAUAACAGGCUAAGAAGCCGGGUUUUACCCCUUCCCUGGGCAGUGGGGCACAGACCACGCUCGCCAGCUGACCAAGGACGUGAUGCGGAAGCCGACCGCGGAGCGCCUGCUGAGGCAGCGGGAGGCCUACAUCCAGAACUUCGUGGACUUCAUCUCCAGGGCCCCCAUGCAGAAGGCCCUUCAGCUGUACUUGGAGAAGCUGAAGCAGAGGAAGGCUUGAGGGCCCAGCUGCCCCCACAGCAGACCCAGCCCUUGGAGGGCCUUUGGGUUCCUUGCGGUCCCCGGGUGUCAAAGCCCGUCUUCCUCCAGUUAAAAGUACUUCAGCUCUUGGCUUU
rnacentral:lncRNA from 1 species